CUCGUAGGUGGCCAACUAAGUCAGACGUGAAAUCCCUCGGCUUAACCGGGGAACUGCGUCUGAUACUGGAUGGCUUGAGUUUGGGAGAGGGAUGCGGAAUUCCAGGUGUAGCGGUGAAAUGCGUAGAUAUCUGGAGGAACACCGGUGGCGAAGGCGGCAUCCUGGACCAACACUGACACUGAGGAGCGAAAGCAGGGGAGCAAAC
rnacentral:rRNA from 1 species